AUACACAGCAGAGAGGCAUGUAAACUUUCAAAAUCCUCUCUGAGGGGCGCUCAAUUGCAAACUGCAUCUCAGGUUUGUUCAAAAAUAAGGGAUUCUUUCUUUGAUUAGCCUUAAUACGCCUGUCAAAGACAGAGGAUAGGAGGGACAUGUUUAAAACAUCUAUCUUCAUGAUCUUUCAUCAUACACUCGCAUAAAUUGAAGUGAGAUAGCUACAGGCUGUAUCUGGUUGUUGAGUGGUAGUCGAGCUCUAAUCAAAAUGAUAAAGCACUCCUGUGAAUCUUGCCACUGCCAGCUGAAGUGGUAGCAGAGUUGUAGAGAGCACCACUCCCUCAUCUUUGCAAGAUAAAAUGCUUUCAUAAUAUAACCAAACAGGAUGCAGCUCCCUGAAGUGUCUUUAAUUGCCUAAUGUCUUCUCCCCUUAUCUGUAAAUACAGCUUUAAACCUCUAGGUCUCACAGCAGGAUCUGCAUUUAGUUCACGCUAAGAUUUUAAGAAUAUUUUUCAAAAAAAACAACCAUAUUUCUUGACAGUAACUGUUAAAGAGGCCCUCUAACCCAGAAGCUUAGGUCAACUAUUUUCACAACUAACAUGGGUUACUACACUCACCAGCUGGAAUAUCUAUACUGCUACUUGAAAAGAUCCUAAGAAUAGAACAGGACUCGUAAAGGAACCAUAUUGUAUUGACAAAUUGUACCAUGCAAACAAAAAUAACCUAAGUUGUAUUUGGCUCUUGAAGCAGCAAACUGGAAUGCAACUAAAGGUUGAGCAUAAGAUAUAUCACAACACAGAUUCUGUGGCGCAAAAUUAGGUAUGUUUAAUUAAGAUCCAAAUAGUUCUGAUUUAAAAUCUAUUUCAGUGCUUUUGAGACUGCAUAAAACAGCUUUUAGUAGCUUUAAUAGUGAAAAUCUCUUUUAUCUUGAAAAAUUUACCUCAAUAUUAACAUUUAAGGUUAAAAUCCAUUUCUUCCAGUGUCUCUUCUUAAGUCCUAUAUUUCUCAAAUGUGACCCUUCUGAGCUGUUUCCUUAAAUAAUCACAACUGCCCUUUAUCUAAAUUAAAAGUCAAAGUCAACAGUGGAAAUUAGAGUCAACAUCUUCCUCCACAAAUUUUGGUAAGUAAAUACUGUCGGUAGUUGAUCUGUUUAAAACAAAGAAGCAACUCUUUUCCAGAAAGAAGCAAGCUAACCCUUAAAAGAGUAAGCACUCCUACUAAGGGAAUACCAUGUUACAUUAGAGUUAGUGCUUGUGGUACCCUUCCAGAGGAUGAGAAGAGCAAAAACAUUACUGAUUCAAUUCUUUUGAAGUGCUCCUGUGACCUCUAGACUACAAACUUUCAGUCCUAUUCAAAUGUAUCAUUUUAAUUGCAUAUUCAUCAGUUGAAAGAUUUGGAGAUUAAUUUUUAGUUGGAAGUAAAGUCAUUAAAAAUGUGUCAGUUACAAAACCCACGAUUAUUAAACUACAAAAUUGGCAUUUUCUACUCAGCAUGUACAGCAGCUGAACCACUGCUGUGCGCCAGGAUUGCACACAGCUCAGCCAGAGUUACACAAGCAGCCUCGCCCAGCUCACAUACAUGCACAGUACAGUUUUACAUGGACUGCUUCUCAGCUGCUUUCUGCUAUGUUCUCAUUUUAAACAAGCUGCCAGAGCAGAAGGGAGAUGUGCACGUGGCCCUAAAGGUCAACGUCCCUGAAACACACACACAGCAGAACUUCAUACAAAACACUAAGCAGCGUGGGGAUAAGGAGGCUAUUCAGUGCACUGUCACAGAACAGGAAUUUAACUGCAAUCACUCUGCAAGACUGAGAUUUAACAAUUUUACUAAUAGCAGUUCCGUCUAAACUGAAGUUCUAAAAUAAAGAAUGACUUCUGAAAAUGUAAAAACUACAUAACUCUACCAAUAGAUGUUUCAUGAAUUCAGAGACCUCUCCUGAAGACAGCGGCAGUAACUGAACACAUCUUAACUUUGACAAAAGCAACACUGUAAAGAACCACUGUGCUGGCCUCUGUUCUAUUUUGUGUAUUACCUUAAACUACCGAAUAGUUGCUGCAUUAUUGGAAAGAGAAAACGGACUCGUCUUUCAGAUUCACUUUGCAGUUUGUACUGAAGAUAAUUUUCAAUUAAAAAGAGCACGUGUAACGUGCCAGAUUCAGAGUGGAUCAAGGCUAAGCCCAGUAGUGCUUUAUCUAGAGAAAACAAAAUAACUCCACUUAGAGCUAAUGUUUUUAAGAACGAAUCUUUUUGCUGUCCACAUCUACUCCUCCAUGGCUGAUUUCCAGCCCCCUCAAAAACAAACCUGCAAAUGAAAACAAACAAAAAACCGAACAGGUUAAAUCUCCAACCUGUCAGUAUGAGCUAGCACCUCUUUGAAAGACGCAAUAAUAGUUCAUAGAAUCAUAGCAUGGAACAGUUGCAAGAAACUACUUAGAUUAUAGUUUCCUAAAUAUCACAUGUGUUGCCCAAGUGUGUUGUUCUACUCUCUAUUUUUUUUUUAAUGGGAUUUUUAAAGCACCAGCAAAUAAACUGCAGCAUGUGUUGCUUUGGAGGAACGAUAGUGAUCUCCACACUUCAGCAUUAAGCUUUUGCUAACACAUACUCAGAAUUGACUCUCAAGUGUGCUUCAUGGAUUACAAAUUUGAAGUAGAUACACUCCACAUUCAAAGCUUUGAACCUUGAGACUGGUGACUCCUGAGAAGCAAAAGGAGGGCAAAAGAAGGUUUGUGAAGCACUCCCAAAGGUUCCAUUGAGGCAGCUAGGAGAAACAACCUCAUUACAUGCUCAUGAAUUUCAGGUUUCUGUUCACAAUACAGGAUAUCUCACCUGUGUACUGAGGCAGAAGCAAGUUAAAUCUCACAGCUUGCUCCCACAGAAACAUCUGCUGAAGGCAGACUCCAAAAGAAGAACGGGUAUAAAAUGAAUCAAUGCUUGGUGCCACAGAACCUCCUGCAAGCCAGCUGGGAUUACUCUGCUGGACAGGUUCAUACCUCUGUAGGCACACACUUUGGUUCCAUAAAUAAGACUUGACUUUAGUGUAGAAAAGAUGUAUUUAUUUGCCCAGAAAUCCGAACAAAAAGUGGGUUUGCAUGGUAUUCGGUCCCACUCUGAAGCAGACAAGUGAAGACUUGCCAGGCAGCUGCCAACAAUCUAACUUGGUACAGAAAAGCUAGGUUAGCCUUAACUGGUCUAUCACUGAAAGGAGGGACAGAGUUACUCAACUGGUACAGAAGUUCCACUCCUAUUCCUAGGAAGAAAGGUUUUAGUCAUUGCUUCAGAAUAAUGCCAGCAUAACUGCUGAAAGAUCUAAGCACCCAACACAGCAACAAAACAAGCAGCACAGGAAAUGCCAGCAGAUAAGGAUGCAUACGCUCUGUGGCUGCGUAGAUGUAGCUGCCCACCCGCACCCCGAGGCUGGCACCAGGUGGCUGCCAGGUGCUGCAGACCAGUCCAGCCUUGCUCAAAAUAGAGGAACAAAUGUCAGUGAGGCACUCCUUAGUCUUCUAUGUUAAAUCUAUUCCUUAAAGUACCAGGGCACCUUCAGCACAUCAGACCACCUUCCACUAGCCACAGUCUGACUAUAAGUAGGACUCUGCUUUACAUCAGUGAAAGAUUUCACGAUCAUACUCCUACACAACCUCACCCCACUCCUCCAGACCUCCAGUAACACUCACUUUCUGACACUGCAAAUUUUUACAGAAUCUCUAACAACAAAACUCUUCAACAAAUACUCUAAAACUUGGGAGCGUCAUCUGUUUAACAAUUAAGUUUCAUGAAACUGUUGAGAGAAAGAGGGAAAAAGGCCCCAGACAGAAGGAAGGUGAGCCCCAGUGUUUCACAUCUGGGCUGCUCCCAGCAACCCCGUGCCAGCAUGCUGCUGUGCCAUCCCACUCCUGUUUCCGUGGCAACAACAGAGCCACCAAGGAGGCAGCGAACACUGCGCCCAGAAACAAAGAGUGCUGCAGCCCUUCCACUCCCACAUCUCUCCAACACUUCUGAAUUAUUAACAGUGGCACAGUGAUGCCACGGCUGGAAAGCAGCAGCUUGACAACAGCUAUGCAGAUGUUCACCCCUCAUCUAUUUGAUGGUGGGAACGUGCAGGACCAGGCGUGCCAGUUCUGUGUUCUAGGAACUACUUCCCUGGAAAUCCUGCUGCCUGUCCCAAAAUCCAGAGAACUGACACUGCCAAUCCAUCCCUACCACAGCCUCGGAGGUCACUCCAGGAUGCAUGCAGUCAGUGCUACUUUUUUCAGUACAAACGUGGUGAGAAUUCAGGCUCUGUACCCUCUCUUAUGAGGAGAUCAGUCAUGCUGCUAAGUAAGCAAUGCAGAAGGUUUGAGGAAAAAGCUAUGCCUUUGUGGGAUGCUUGUGCUUUCUGGUAUGAACUGAUGAGGAAAGAAGGACUAACAACAUUGGGGAAGACUUCGAUUCUAAGAGUGUAGGACAACACAAUAUCUGGAUCAUAUCUAAAGAACUAUGACAGAGAUGAACCACCACACACUGAGUUAUCCUCAGGCCAAAACGCAGGAACAACUCUCCCGAGGACAUAACAAAGGCUCUGCGUGUUCUCAUGUGUCGCUGUCAAGAAAUCUGCCCACGCUGAAGGUGUUCUUUCCAACUUCAGAAGACAGCAUUAAUUAAAUGUUGGUAAACAGAAUCUGUAGUAAGCAGCAUCCUUCUGGUUGUUGCUUUUCUUACACUAUAAGCGUUUGCACGAUAGGGCAGUACCAUCAGUGAAGACUACCAGCUUUAGUUGCUGAAGUGGCAAGAGACUGGCAGAGAGAACUUGCUCUGCUUUAAAGCAAACAAGAAAUGUAAGACUUUAAUUUAAAAAAAUAAACAAAAAUAAAUCUGUAGCUAUUUCCAUUCUUCCCCCAAUCAAAAUAAGACUACUGAAAGAUGACAAAAUUCAGUGCCUAAAAAAAGAAAGAUCAAAGGCAGUGUCAAUAUUUAAAAGGGUUUUUUUCUAGUCAGCUUCACCAGUUUUAUGCCAUGUGCUCAGCAGAAAGCCAGAAGCUAUGACACCUCCUGCUGUUCCACCACUUAACAUCCAACAAGCUUGUGUUGCUUUUGUUGUUUUUAACGAAGUAAUAUUUGGCUUCUGACAGAGCCAUGAAGAGCCGCUCCUCCACCCAACAGUCCGCAGUGCCGCCCCGACCUCAGAAGCACCCGCUCCCCACGACACAGACACACGCAUCCCUCAGACCUGGCCAGAGCCAUGAGGUGACCGGAAUGGUUGGCAAUGGCAGCACCAGGGUCUGCCGCGUGCUACAGACACAGCCAGCGUCAACACAAAUUCCAGAUCUUCACAUUUCAGUGGAUCACCUUCCUCACAGUGUCCUCCGCUGACCUGUUCAUGGGUUGAUUACAACUGGAGAGUGAGGCUGUUGGUUUUUAACUCCUCCUGUGUAUCUUGAAGUACCAUUUCACCAAGCCUUGUGAGUUUGGGACUUCAUGGAUGUGCAUCCAAGUGGAUCAGAACAGAUGCACAACAGUCCCCAAAUCACACCAAGUGAAGUAUCCUACUGCUUUCUUCAUUCACAAAGAAGAAAUACCUGCCAACCUUCUUGUUCACAAUCUAAAGCAAUUUCUCUGGCCUGGUGACAAUGGCAUUGAAGGAGGGGCAGAAAAUCCAAGUUCAGGCCCUGCUCUCAAGCACAUUUCAACAAAUGAAAUUCAGAAGGAAUAAGGAUCGUUUUCCUCUGUCAGCCAUAGCUGCUGUGCUAUGCGCCCAUCUCAGCUUGUGCCACAUAAGCUCCAAGAACACCCACUGAUGGGGCUCCUCCAUGCCCUCAGGAACCACUGAGCGGCGUACAGUGAAAAGAGAAGUGCAGAAACGUCUUUUAGUAUUAGAAGCCUAUCUUCAAAUGUUAGGAGUCUGUUCUGCAGACACCCUGUAUAAACCCCUUAGGCGCUCCAGUGCUUUCUGACAGCUCAGCCUACGCAUCUCCCGGUCCACUGCUGAGAGCACAUUUUAGGCCCAGGUUGCCCUAGAGUACAACAGAUCUUGCUGAAUAAAUAACAAAAUAGUAAAAACAAACAACAACAAAAACAAACAGUGUACUAAUUAACUGGUGGCACCUUCUAUAAAUCACAUAACUCACGGCUGGAUUGUACUUGGACCAGCAAGAGGACAUGGACUAAGGAUGCUCUGCAGGCAGUAGUACCCUGUAUUAGAGCAAGCAGUGUAACUGGAGAAACCAGGCACAACUCUGGUCUUGCAAGGCCUUCCUCAGACACACAAGUUCAAUCUAUUCUACUAACUGGGAAUAUAAAAGAUACUGCUGCCAUCUAGAUUUGUUUUAUUCUGUAAGGCACCUUUGCUAAGAAUGGCAGUUAAGUGUCCCAAAACAUGCGAUGGGCUGAUGGUUGGUCUAGAUGAUCCUAGUGGUCUUUUCCAACCUUGACCAUUCUAUGAAAACAUAUUUCCUUGCAACAAAGUCAAACUGCACGUAAAAUAAAGUCUAACCUUAUUUUUUACUCCUAAAGGCACUUUUUAACUGUUGCCAAAUCUGCAUAUUACACGCUUGUAGCAUCUGGCAAUACAGAUUAAACUGCAUUUUAAACAGAGAUCAGGUACAGGUCCAAUGAAGAACUUAUUCUCUAUGAAUAAUGCUUCAUGUGCUGAAGCACAGACUGACAAAUAGCUUAACUACACACAAUCCACCCUCAAGGGCAGCCAGCACAGUUUCCUAGCUGAUUAACAUUCUAAAUUCCCCCAAUAUAAAUGGUAGCGUUAAUUUCUCAGGCAAGUAAAACAAAACAAAAAAAAUACUUCUUUUGCAGUAAUAAUUCUCAAAUUUAGGCUUUUGUUCAUUGUUCCCACCACAAGAAAAGCAUUAAUAACAAAGGAGAAUAGAAAGGCAGGGAAUAUAUUCAGGGUUUUAUUUUCUUAUCCCUUUUCCCACAGCACAUCCUUGUCUCAGAAGCCUGCUCAAUGGAAGCCUGGAUUAUUCAGGCAAUGAGAGGGUGCUGCCUGCCUGGUGGUGACACGUUCUCUCUUACCACAAAUCAGCACCUACAAACACAGACUGCAAGAGUCUGGAGAUGUUUUUGAUAGAAUAGGAGAAGACAGACGACUUCCUGCACAAGUGGGACCAGUCUUCAAGGGCAAUCCAACGUUAUACAGUGCUCCACAAAGUGUAUCUAUUCACAUGCUGCCAUUCACAUACAGCUGCUACACUGAUACUCCAACAGAAAACUCUUUCCCUUUAGAUUCUGUAUAAACAGACAAAAAAUGCCCAUCUUUGUCAUUAACUCCACCACACUGAAUGCACACAGAGCAUGUUUAUUUCAGAUUAUAUUGGGCAUAAGACAACAGACUCCUGUUUGUCAAACUCCUGCUUCCAGCCUUUACUCCAUUUUACCUUUUUAUUUCACAUUUUUCAUGCAGUAAGCUUCAGGGCGCUUUUUGCAACUGCUGAGUGAUCCAAUAACAUUCCACUGAAAUAAUGUUUCCUGCACAAUCUUGUUGCAUAAAGUCGAACUAAACGUGGGUUUAAAAAACAAAGUGAAACACGCUUCUUCCCAUACAAGUUUCUGUAGUGGAGAACUACAUCAUUAACACAUUAAGGUGCACGAUUAGUUUCAGAACAGAAUUCAACCUAAGAAGUCCUUUCUUCACCCUUGUGAUGUCUCUCCCUGCACAAUGCUCCUCGCACCACCAGGCCCAGCAGCAUUUUCCCCUGCACUACAAAGGCAAACUCCUUGACUUCACCGCCCACAAACACGGCCAUCUGAUUAUUCGACUAUUGGGAAUACCAAACUCAGAGGCAGCUCAGCCCUACUAGCGAGUUCCCCAGUAUCUACACAAAGAAUUGCUCAUGGGCAAGUUCAAGAUGUCAUGUAAAUUCUAUUUGGCUAAAAAAAAUUAAACCAAAGUGGAUUAUUAGUCAUUACACCUCAGAAGACUGUCAUCCUUAAUGAUCCCAAAGUGCUUUGUAAAUUAAGGCCCAGAACUGCACCUACCGUGAGGCUCCUGGGUAGCAGCCAGCUGUUCUGCCCACGCUGUGCGCACGGAGUGCUGCCUCUGUUCCUGCUGCAGCUCCCUGAAGGCUGCUGAAACCUCCAGCACGGAGCGUCUCAGUUCACCCCAAGGACACAGACACAAGGCACUAAGCACACCUUGCUUAAAGAGAGGCACUGGACUCCACAUGCUCUGUGGAGCUCUGGAACUCCAACCAGUGUUUCAGUGCAGUGAGUGCCUCCUAUUUGAUCAGCUCGCCCUGCAGACAAACCAGCACAACCACACCGUGUGUCCGACGGUACCCACGAGAGCCCACAUUUUUACUGUCAAUUCUAAUGACGAGAUUUUAAAAAACAUACAAACAAGAUAAUGUGUAAGCAGGAAAUUAAAUGCAUUGAAAUAAGAAGAAACCAAGAGCUUCACUCUGAGAAAGGAUCUAACCUACAACUGUUAAUUCCAUACCCACUCCCACGGAAUUCAGCAAAUGUCACGUACCACUCAAACGCUCCGGCAUGUUUUCCCCUCUCCUUAAAACAGGCACAUGCUCUGCACAGAUCCUCUUCUUGGCCAUAUCUCCAGCUUUUCAGAUCUGUGCAUAUCCCCAUCAGUCAGAGAUUAGGGAAGAAAACUGAGACUGAGAAGGGCAACUGAAGAACACAAAAGGGGAUUGCAGCAAAGUUACCAGAGAAAUGCAUUCCCUGCAUAUUGCCCCCAGUAGGAGACUGUCCAUUAAGAAAAAUGUCAUCAUAGUGAAUUAUAACAACUCAUAAUUAAGCAACUCCACAUUCAUUUUAAAAUGUGAAGAUUUAUAAACUGUGAAUUUGUAAUAAUUCAUCAUUCUCCCAUAUUACUUUGUACAAGAAUACUGUAUUUGUCCCACCACACUACAAACAUCAUUGUGCAUUUGAUUCAAAAGCAGUGCACAACCUCUACACAGGUUCCUGCUCCUUUUCAGCCAUGAAUUACUUCAGUUACCUUUUUCUGAAAUACACAGGUGUGGGCAAUAUCUGGAAACAGACACUAGAACUAGCUGGAGAACUCCCACAUACGAUGUAAAUCCUAAUCAAUAUAUUGGAGCAGGCAAGAAAAGUUAGUUCUCUCUACUUUGCUUCAAGACUAACAAAAAAAGCAUGUAGGAAUAAUCUGAGUUUGUGAAGUACCUAUUAAAAAAAGUAGGUCAGGCUUAAAAGUUUGACCUACUGAUCUUUGCUUUGGCAAAAGUACAAAUUGAGUUUACAUAAUGCUGCUUACAUCAUAAGUGCUGGCUGGAAACUAAGCAAAACAACUGCUUUUAAUAAGCCUAAGUCAUUAACAUGAUUCUGUUUUUCGGCUUUCAGAGUUUUAAAUCCCUGAUUGGCAGUACAUACUAUUGAAGCCUUACUUUUAAGAUUCAUAUUUUAAGUGACGCUUCUGUUAAUCCCGCUGUCGUAUCACAUCAAUGAAUGUAGUAAGCAUGCCUGAAAGCAGCUCUAAGUUGAUUUAAACAAACCAUUACUAUUAUUAGAGAAACACAGACACAUCCAAAGCUUCAGCAAUGCAUCUUUCCCACAGUUUGCGCCGUUCAUAAGGCAGAUUUACAACAAUGUGCUUCUUGAGGGAAGCACAGGGCAGACCAAGGCCCGCAUCCACACACACUGAAUGUAAUCUGGUUCUACAGAGACUGCACACACGGCUGUAAGAAGAACACAUCAAAGAAAAACUUAUUCUAAAUACCUGAAACUCAAGUACUCUACCUAAAAUGCCUACUAUCAUAAAGAGAGAAAUGCAGUAGCAGUUAUUCUUAGAUUUUCCCCCUGUUUAAUAAAGUAAAACUGUGAUAGGAAACCAAGGUUUUAAAUAAUAAAAUCAAAGCUUUGAUUCUAAAUUCUCACCAAUCUCGUGACGAAGAAUAGCAUCUCUGUUCCACUGAGAGCACUACCAUGACAACUUUCCAGCACCCACCCUCAGCCAUGCCAGGUGCUAGGGUUGGAAGGAAAACACAGGUUACUGGUUCCCAGACACCUACUCCUUAAACUACGUGUUUCUUACCUAGUUCUUCAACGCUCAUUAGAGACUGAGUAAUUGAACAGGACUUGGGGAGACACAAACUAACGGUUUUAUACAUUCACACUAAUGGGAAAACAAGACAUUCACCCAACAGAAGUAGUAUUCAGUUGCAUGGUAAAAAGCAAAUAUAAAACUCAGUUCCUCUCUGGACAAAACCAGGCAGCUCUCUCCUCCCUGCUCUGGCAGGCUCAAGUCACCAGGCUGACACAGCACUCUUUUAUGAGAUUCUUCCUACACAUAAAAUAGUUCCAUAUGUUUAAAAGCUGAGUGGUUGAGCAAGCACAAAGUUAAUUCAUUACAACAAUGCCUUACUACUAGCUUUUCUUGUGCCUUAAGGCCUGGUCAGUGGCAGAAUCCCAAGACAGCACACAUCCUCUGCUCUCUGAGAUUUUGACAUUGCUUGGAAGACAUCUAGCUGCCAAGGGGAAUGGAUGGAGAUCCUAAGGAUGUUGGGGCCACUCCCAGCAGGGGUACACCACUUACAGACAGCUCUUGUUACAGUAUUCAGGCCUUGGGUUUCUACAUUCUUUGCCGGUCCUUACUAGUUCCUACGCAGUUUGUGCGGCUCUUCUGUGGGUGUUCUUAGAGGCACCGAAACCUUGGGGCUUGCCGCCCUGCUCAGCAGCGUGCCAGAGCACUGCCUCUGCCUGCUUACCCACUUGGGCACCCAAAGGAAAACACGUUCUGGGACAUGAUAGCCAAGAACCUGAUUUUAAACUCAUCUGAUGUUCACAAUGGCUUUGCAGAUCACUUUUUAGCGAGCACUAAUGUCACUCAACCCUGCAUAGUGGUGCGCACACGGAGUGGGCAUAAGAUUUUACUCUGUGUCACUGUGAUGUAUGUAUCAACGUAAGAGGAUGCAAUAAAUAUUUGCUUUACAUGUAAUCCACCAGAACUUAGCAUGCUUAAAUUCUGACAUCCAGUUGUAUUUACUCACUGCUACAGAAAAGGUACGCUUUGUACUAUAAGUUGGAAUCAAAUGAACCACCUUGCUCCAUAGGAAGGGAUAACUAAGGCACACAAACAAGUUGAUAGCAUAGCUUUCUGAAGAGGGGAUUAUUUGAUAAAUUCUCCUGCUGAAUUAUUCGACCCAAAGCAUUCCAAAUCGUCAACCCCCCAACACAUACCAUGUCUCAUUUCAACUGUGCUACUAGUCGUGUCUUCUGCCUACAAAAGGACCGAGCGCUGCUGCUGGAAUAACUUGUAACCCCCUUCCUCCCAUACUGAAGACAAAACAUCAAAACCAUGAAAGACCAUCCCACACAGAAAGGGAAAACACACCAUCAGCUUUCCAAGUUCAUUGGAGAAGCAUAUAGCUACAGGAGCAAAAUUCAUUACUACUGAAAUGAGUGGGAGUUUAGGCACUGACUUAAGUUACAGCCAACUCUGCCCUUAUUUCUCACACAGAAUACCACCUUAAGGAUAAAAGGAUGUCAGCGAAGGAAUACUGAGGCUCCCAGAUGGAAGUUCACCACUGUUACACAAGAGGUGUAACUAAACCUCACUGAGAGCUCCAUGAGAGAAAAACCUAUUUAAUUUUCAACUUUCCUUUACAAUCUCAAAGAUGUAUGAAAUACCUGAAACCAAAACAAGGAAUGAGUCUUGCAAAAAUAUGUGGAGGAAAAGCACCAAAGACUUGGAUCCACUUCCAUGGAGGUGUAUUUCCUCUCUGGUCCGAUAAGCAUCUGAAACCUUCAGUGCUCUCCAUGGCACUCAUUUCCUCAUAAUUACAGUGCUGGAGAGGAAUUUUUACAGCCAACAGUUUUCAACUGACUAUAAAGCUGCCUGUAAGGGUAAGACUUGGGAGGCACAUCAGUGCUUCCCCCAUACUGUUCUCCUGAGAACAUAAGCUCCUUUAAAUAAAACAUUUAAAGCAAUCUACAUUUUUCAGAAAAAAAAAAACAUUAAAGCAGCUAAUUUGCUUUGAUAUCCCAUUUAGCAGAAAAUCACCAGCACCACUGGAGUAUGAUGUACAUAUCGCUUAGCAUUUACACCAGAAUGGAUUUUUCUCCUGGAACCUAAGCCCAGGUUUCCAAUCUCAACGGCUGUAGAGGGCUGUGAAGAAGCCACUGCAGCGCCGUGUCCCCAGAUCUGCUGACGGCUCUGCCCUGCGCAGUCCCCAAGCAGCUGCAGCACUGAGGCCAGGCUGCUCCGUGCCGCCUUCCGGACUGAGGGCAGCUUACUACAGGAAGUCCUUCAGCGAACGGGCAUCCCUGCGAUUCCUUCCAGUUUGGGUAAAAGGUUCCCUUCAGCAGCUCCAAGCACUGGGAAUGCACGUUCACACUGCUUCCAGCCAGAGAUCUUAGAGUAGAGCACACCAAAUCCCACACUGAUAAAGAUCCACAAAACAGCCAUUAAGGAAGCCACUGUACGACAGCUACCUCUCCUUCGUGAUUUCAAAGAGCCAACAAUGUGUUUGGCUUCAAAAGACAGCAAUAAAAUAAGCCGUUGGUCUGUCAAAACGUUACUUGAAAAGUGCCGCAGAAAAAUCCACAUAGGUUUCAUGUUUGCCAGUCUAAUUGCAGGUAAACCUGUCUGCAAUCCCCAAAACUGUGCAAGAUAGGGAUGGCAGACAAUUCUCAAGCAACCACCCAUCAAGUAACUGAGAACUCAUGAUUUCUAGGUACGCUAUAUCAAGUAGUUGUUUUUGUAUUAUAAAUAGACAUUAAACAUUUUUCUUUAACAGAGAUAUUAAUGGCCUGUGUUUAGUUCCCCACGAGCAAUUUUUUCAAGAUAGGUUUUAUUAUCUCAUCACUGGAUAGGCAGAGAGGAGCCAAUGUCUUACACACAGAGUAGGACCCAUGAACAUGGGGAAGGGCUUAGGACAGACACACCUGGCUGGUUACAGUGAGGGUUACUGUACGUCACCGUCAGUGCCAGCAGAAGGGCUCCCUAGCACAGCACAGCGCUGGGGGCAUGUAAGAGGAGAGAACCAACAGCUCCCCAGGGCCACAGGCACGAAGAUUGCCACAGUCAGCGACAGGGGAACAGGGACGUGCCCAGGGGAGUCCUGAACGCUGCUCUUGGUGAGGUGACUCUUCCUGUCCUCGAGCAGGAACAGGUUCCAGGCCGGACUGACAGAAACAAUGCGGCCAAACCGUAAGGAUAAAGACAGUGUGGUCAGAGGGAAUGCCCUGCCACCAGCCUCUGUGUGCCGACGCUUUAAAUACUCCAUCAGAGUAAAGGAAACACGACUUCACUCAGAAUAGUUCAGUCCUCUUAUGGAAGCUGAGCAUCAGGCAAGGGGCAAGGCAGACGGUGGAAGUUUUUAAAACACUGCGCACGCACUUAGGACAGCAGCUUUCACCCCAGAGCCUCUUUGCUCUGCCCUGUACCCGUGCAUGCUCGGAAGCACGGACGGGUCGGGGCGGCGGGACCAUCCAGCCCCGCGCAGCCCUCCCCCCGCCCGCUGCUCGCAGCGCGCCCUUAGCAACAGGCGGCGGUGAGCAGCUACCGACAACGUCAGCGCAGGCACGAAAACCUCUCGUUCUUUUAAAGAAAAGUAGCGUCCGGCUCUGCAACGAAAGCCCUCGGCAGCCCGCCUCAGCAGCUGACAGCCGAGGGCCGCCGCCGGCCCCGCCCCGCGGCACCACGGCCCCGCUCCGCGCCCGCCCGCCCCGCCGCAGCCUCACCCGCGGACUCGCCGGUGUUGAUCCAGUCGGGGUUGGCCAGGCUGGCGAUGGCGAAGAUGUCCGCGGCCAGGAAGAGGCAUCCUG